AUCAUGGCUCAGGACGAACGCUGGCGGUAUGCUUAACACAUGCAAGUCGAACGAGACAAAAGCGAAGUGCUUGCACGGAACUUUUAGAAAGUGGCGAACGGGUGAGUAACGCGUGGGUAACCUGCCCUAUGGAAAGGAAUAGCCUCGGGAAACUGGGAGUAAUGCCUUAUAAUAUAAAGAAGUCGCAUGGCUUUUUUAUUAAACGCUCCGGUGCCAUAGGAUGGACCCGCGUCCCAUUAGCUAGUUGGUGAGAUAACAGCCCACCAAGGCGACGAUGGGUAACCGGUCUGAGAGGGCGAACGGUCACACUGGAACUGAGACACGGUCCAGACUCCUACGGGAGGCAGCAGUGGGGAAUAUUGCGCAAUGGGGGAAACCCUGACGCAGCAAUACCGCGUGAGUGAAGAAGGUUUUCGGAUCGUAAAGCUCUGUUAUUGGGGAAGAAAAAAAGACGGUACCCAAGAAGAAAGUCCCGGCUAACUACGUGCCAGCAGCCGCGGUAAUACGUAGGGGACAAGCGUUGUCCGGAUUUACUGGGCGUAAAGGGCACGCAGGCGGUUUUUUAAGUCAGAUGUGA
rnacentral:rRNA from 1 species